rnacentral:lncRNA from 1 species
CAGGCCUGUAAUCCUGGCACUUUGGGAGACAAGCUGGAGGAUUUGUUGAGGCCAGCCUGGGCAGCAUAGUGAGACCUAAAAACAAAAAAAAUCCUUAAACAUGACUAAUUUGGGAAGGAGAGAAAGGGUUCGGGCCAAAGGUCAGCAUUGUCUCUACAAGAAAACCUUGUUCCUGUCCUUGCUACCCAACAGUUUUAUCUCCACACAGUAGUCCAAGGGAUCCUAUUAAAUUGAUCAUGGCACUCCCGUGCAAAAAAAUCAAAAGUCCUCAUGAUAGCUUUCAUGAUCUUCCCACUUUAUGUGUGACCUCAUGUC